rnacentral:rRNA from 1 species
GACGAACGCUGGCGGCGUGCCUAAUACAUGCAAGUCGAGCGGAAUGAAGAAGAAGCUUGCUUCUUCUGAUUUUAGCGGCGGACGGGUGAGUAACACGUGGGCAACCUACCUUGUAGAUUGGGAUAACUCCGGGAAACCGGGGCUAAUACCGGAUAAUCCAUUUUGCUUCAUGGCGAGAUGUUAAAAGGCGGCUUCGGCUGUCACUACGAGAUGGGCCCGCGGCGCAUUAGCUAGUUGGUAGGGUAAUGGCCUACCAAGGCGACGAUGCGUAGCCGACCUGAGAGGGUGAUCGGCCACACUGGGACUGAGACACGGCCCAGACUCCUACGGGAGGCAGCAGUAGGGAAUCUUCCACAAUGGACGAAAGUCUGAUGGAGCAACGCCGCGUGAGUGAAGAAGGUUUUCGGAUCGUAAAACUCAGUUGUAAGGGAAGAACACGUACGAGAGUAACUGCUCGUACCUUGACGGUACCUUAUUGGAAAGCCACGGCUAACUACGUG